UACAGGGGGUGCAAACGUUGCUCGGAAUCAUUGGGCGUAAAGCGCACGUAGGCGGUUUGUUAUGUCGGAUGUGAAAGCCCUUGGCUCAACUGAGGAAGUGCAUCCGAAACUGGCAAGCUAGAGUACUAAAGAGGGUCGCGGAAUUCCCGGUGUAGAGGUGAAAUUCGUAGAUAUCGGGAGGAACACCGGUGGCGAAGGCGGCGACCUGGACAGAUAUUGACGCUGAGGUGCGAAAGCGUGGGGAG
rnacentral:rRNA from 1 species